AGACGUCUACAUUAGAUACCCCCGUAGUCCCAGCCGUAAACUAUGCGCGUUAGGUGUAUCGGUGACCACGAGUCACCGAGGUGCCGAAGGGAAACCGUGAAACGUGCCGCCUGGGAAGUACGGUCGCAAGGCUGAAACUUAAAGGAAUUGGCGGGGAGCACCACAACAGGUGGAGCCUGCGGUUUAAUUGGACUCAACGCCGGGAAGCUCACCGGAUAGGACAGCGGAAUGAUUGCCGGGCUGAAGACCCUGCAUGACUAGCUG
rnacentral:rRNA from 1 species